GUUAUACAGCGUUAAUCUAUCAAACACAUAAACAGUUUUUGAGACAAUGGCAACAUGAUUUGACUUAGAAGCUCAAACCCUGCAAAAGCGUUAGGAUGAGGACUGUGAUUUCAUACAAUGGCUGGGGAAAAGAGAUUAGUUGUCAGAUCGACUGGAAAUGUCAACAUUUGCAGAGGUGUUGGCGAAUUGAUUAAAAAGAGUGCUAGGUUGGGUGUGUCUUCACUGAAGUAAAAGGUGUUAAAAUGGAAUCACUGAUUACUGGAAAUGGAAGGAACCUCCUGAGGUCAUGAAGUCCAGUCCCUUACAUUCAUGGCAGGAUCAAGUACCAUCAAGAACACCCCGACAUGUGUUUGCUUAACAUGCUCAAAAAUCUCCAGUGCUGGAGAUUCCACACCUGUAUUCACAGGUGGGUCCUCAUGGAUGAUUAGACAUCUAGCAGGUUAUGAGAUCACAAGAAGAUGGAAGCAGUACCACUGAGAGGAGAAGUGAUUUUUAGUCCAACUGUCUAGAGGAGAAAUAAUCAACUAAAAAAAAAUUACAUGGUAACCCAGUUGCUUGCUACUGCAGAUAACCUUCAUACCUCAUAAUCUCUAUAAACCCCCCUAAAUGGAGACCAAAGGUGAUUUUUAAAUUAUUAUAUCCAGUGUUUGCCCUAUCCGUCUUUGGAAGUAUGUAAACUGAUGUAUCUAUUCUUACUUUAAUAUCCUUAAGCAAAAUGUGUGUGCAUGGCUGGAUUUUUUUUUUAAAAGACACCCUGGAAAAAUGUUCCUGAAGGUGUAUCAAGUCAUACCGUUUGGAGGAGGAAAAUACCCUUAGCUCUUUUAGUCCAUCUCCAUGGUUAUCAAAGACUUCCUGAAAAUCCAGGACAAUACAGAGCCUCAGUCUAUGUUCAGUGAAGUCACUGGGUGUUGGAUCAGGACUCUAGUGCAUCAUUGACUAGGCUGCUUUUGAUUCAUUGGCAAAAUAAGCCUUGAAAGCCAUGGAAUUUUAUAAAGGGGGAGUUUAAUGAGAAUUGUUAUAGGAAUGAGUUUAGUUUCAUCUGGGAAACAUGCAGGUUCCUGUUGUAAAAGAAGUGGGUAGCUGGAGCAGUUAUGUUAGCUAAGGUCUGGACAGGGGAUAUUAGUGAUUUUUCUGUUCAUUUCAGGUUUGAUAUCUGAAAUAGGAAAAACUGAAAUUCUUUCUUGGUACUGUCGUCUCUGCUUAGCACUGUCAUCCUGAUUGUAACAGAAACAAAUUGACUCUAGGAAUGUAUGGUCCAUCCCGGAUUGAUUUUUUUUAAAUUGCAAAUGAGGCUGUAUCUCAUGGCCAUUAGACUCUUUGCUGAUAGCAAGAAGAAAAACUCU